AGCUUUCCUCGCCCGUCGCCUUCUCCUCUCCCAUUCCACCAAGCUGCCGCCCCGGCUCCUAUCUCUCUCUGACCCGGCGCCGUGCCCCAUCUUCUUUCAUUUCUCUCUCCCCGAUUGGACCUCUGCGCGCAUCUCCCGCCACCGCGCCGUCACGGUGGUCGGGGCCCGGAAGGAGGUGGCCUAGCGCCAUCACCAGCUACUUCGGAUCCGGAUUCUCUCGGGCUCCCCUCCCCUGCGUCCGUGCCUUUCUGCAGAAACGGCACUUUACUUCUGUGUUUCUUUCCGGGAGUAAUUAGUGGAGUACUAUGUGGAAACAAUAAAAGCUCCAGAGAUGAUGAAGAGAGCGUCUCACCUCUUCUUUGUGUCUCAGAAAAACAGCUUGCCAGAUUUUUUUUAACAAGAGCCUCAUGCCUCUGUUGAAAACCCCACUGAAUGCAACUUUAGUUGGAUAAGAUGGCAUCAAGACAGAUGAAAUGAAGAGCAGGCUGCCUGUAUUUCUUAUUCUGGCGCUCUCCGUCCCUUGGCCGACUUCACUGGAUCACAUUGGAGAACUUCCAUGGAUUCAUGAAGUUCUCCUUGCGCUUGAAUAUCUUCACAUGCUGGGAGUCAUAUACCGUAAUAAGCCAGAGAAUAUCGAGUAUGUGAUAAUGGUCACGUCAUGCUAUCAGACUUUGAUCUCUUGCUAAGGACUUCCUUUAUGAGCUUCUGUAUGGUAGCCAAAGGCAGGGGGUGCACAUAUACAUUCUUGUAUGUUCAGUUGCUAUUAUGUUCCUGUUAAUAGAUCACGCAAUUCAAAGGAACAGUCCGAGCCCUUGACAUCAUUGUUUUUGCAUAAGGGCAACUUCCUGUUGGAAGAUCCACUAGAUUUCAUGAUCUGCUUCUGUUAUUGUGCAGUCAAACAUUGAUGAAGCAUGUAGAUCCUCUGUUUUGUUCUUUGUGCUAAAGAAAAAAAAUGUAUUACCACUCUUUUUUUUU